rnacentral:rRNA from 1 species
GACGAACCGUGCGAACGUUGUUCGGAAUCACUGGGCUUAAAGGGCGCGUAGGCGGGCCUUCAAGUCCGGGGUGAAAGCCUCCAGCCUAACUGGAGAAGAGCCUCGGAGACUGAGGGCCUCGAGGGAGGUAGGGGCGUGCGGAACUAUGGGUGGAGCGGUGAAAUGCAUUGAUAUCCAUAGGAACUCCGGUGGCGAAGGCGGCACGCUGGACCUCUUCUGACGCUGAGGCGCGAAAGCCAGGGGAGCAAACGGG